GGGUUGUGAGGUUAAGCGACUAAGCGUACACGGUGGAUGCCCUGGCAGUCAGAGGCGAUGAAGGGCGUGCUAAUCUGCGAUAAGCGCCGGUAAGGUGAUAUGAACCGUUAUAACCGGCGAUACCCGAAUGGGGAAACCCAGUGUGACUCGUCACACUAUCAUUAACUGAAUCCAUAGGUUAAUGAGGCGAACCGGGGGAACUGAAACAUCUAAGUACCCCGAGGAAAAGAAAUCAACCGAGAUUCCCCCAGUAGCGGCGAGCGAACGGGGAGGAGCCCAGAGCCUGAAUCAGCAUGUGUGUUAGUGGAAGCGUCUGGAAAGGCGCGCGAUACAGGGUGACAGCCCCGUACACAAAAGCGCAUGUGCUGUGAGCUCGAUGAGUAGGGCGGGACACGUGGUAUCCUGUCUGAAUAUGGGGGGACCAUCCUCCAAGGCUAAAUACUCCUGACUGACCGAUAGUGAACCAGUACCGUGAGGGAAAGGCGAAAAGAACCCCGGCGAGGGGAGUGAAAAAGAACCUGAAACCGUGUACGUACAAGCAGUGGGAGCCCCACCACUAAGCCAGUGGUGAACUCCACAUACGCAUCCUUUGCUGAGGAUACGGUUAACGGAGCGAAAGCGACGUUCAACCGCAAAAGAAGCAGAGGGGGCUUAGUGGUGGGGUGACUGCGUACCUUUUGUAUAAUGGGUCAGCGACUUAUAUUCUGUAGCAAGGUUAACCGAAUAGGGGAGCCGGAGGGAAACCGAGUCUUAAUUGGGCGUUAAGUUGCAGGGUAUAGACCCGAAACCCGGUGAUCUAGCCAUGGGCAGGUUGAAGGUUGGGUAACACUAACUGGAGGACCGAACCGACUAAUGUUGAAAAAUUAGCGGAUGACCUGUGGCUGGGGGUGAAAGGCCAAUCAAACCGGGAGAUAGCUGGUUCUCCCCGAAAGCUAUUUAGGUAGCGCCUCGUGAAUUCAUCUCCGGGGGUAGAGCACUGUUUCGGCUAGGGGGCCAUCCCGGCUUACCAACCCGAUGCAAACUGCGAAUACCGGAGAAUGUUAUCACGGGAGACACACGGCGGGUGCUAACGUCCGUCGUGAAGAGGGAAACAACCCAGACCGCCAGCUAAGGUCCCAAAGUCAUGGUUAAGUGGGAAACGAUGUGGGAAGGCCCAGACAGCCAGGAUGUUGGCUUAGAAGCAGCCAUCAUUUAAAGAAAGCGUAAUAGCUCACUGGUCGAGUCGGCCUGCGCGGAAGAUGUAACGGGGCUAAACCAUGCACCGAAGCUGCGGCAGCGACGCUGAUGCGUUGUUGGGUAGGGGAGCGUUCUGUAAGCCUGCGAAGGUGGCCUGUGAGGGUUGCUGGAGGUAUCAGAAGUGCGAAUGCUGACAUAAGUAACGAUAAAGCGGGUGAAAAGCCCGCUCGCCGGAAGACCAAGGGUUCCUGUCCAACGUUAAUCGGGGCAGGGUGAGUCGACCCCUAAGGCGAGGCCGAAAGGCGUAGUCGAUGGGAAACGGGUUAAUAUUCCCGUACUUGGUGUUACUGCGAAGGGGGGACGGAGAAGGCUAUGUUGGCCGGGCGACGGUUGUCCCGGUUUAAGCGUGUAGGUGUGUGUUCCAGGUAAAUCCGGUUCACUUUAACACUGAGGCGUGAUGACGAGGCACUACGGUGCUGAAGCAACAAAUGCCCUGCUUCCAGGAAAAGCCUCUAAGCAUCAGGUAACAUCAAAUCGUACCCCAAACCGACACAGGUGGUCAGGUAGAGAAUACCAAGGCGCUUGAGAGAACUCGGGUGAAGGAACUAGGCAAAAUGGUGCCGUAACUUCGGGAGAAGGCACGCUGACACGUAGGUGAAGUGAUUUACUCAUGGAGCUGAAGUCAGUCGAAGAUACCAGCUGGCUGCAACUGUUUAUUAAAAACACAGCACUGUGCAAACACGAAAGUGGACGUAUACGGUGUGACGCCUGCCCGGUGCCGGAAGGUUAAUUGAUGGGGUCAGCGCAAGCGAAGCUCCUGAUCGAAGCCCCGGUAAACGGCGGCCGUAACUAUAACGGUCCUAAGGUAGCGAAAUUCCUUGUCGGGUAAGUUCCGACCUGCACGAAUGGCGUAAUGAUGGCCAGGCUGUCUCCACCCGAGACUCAGUGAAAUUGAACUCGCUGUGAAGAUGCAGUGUACCCGCGGCAAGACGGAAAGACCCCGUGAACCUUUACUAUAGCUUGACACUGAACAUUGAGCCUUGAUGUGUAGGAUAGGUGGGAGGCUUUGAAGUGUGGACGCCAGUCUGCAUGGAGCCGACCUUGAAAUACCACCCUUUAAUGUUUGAUGUUCUAACGUGGACCCGUGAUCCGGGUUGCGGACAGUGUCUGGUGGGUAGUUUGACUGGGGCGGUCUCCUCCUAAAGAGUAACGGAGGAGCACGAAGGUUGGCUAAUCCUGGUCGGACAUCAGGAGGUUAGUGCAAUGGCAUAAGCCAGCUUGACUGCGAGCGUGACGGCGCGAGCAGGUGCGAAAGCAGGUCAUAGUGAUCCGGUGGUUCUGAAUGGAAGGGCCAUCGCUCAACGGAUAAAAGGUACUCCGGGGAUAACAGGCUGAUACCGCCCAAGAGUUCAUAUCGACGGCGGUGUUUGGCACCUCGAUGUCGGCUCAUCACAUCCUGGGGCUGAAGUAGGUCCCAAGGGUAUGGCUGUUCGCCAUUUAAAGUGGUACGCGAGCUGGGUUUAGAACGUCGUGAGACAGUUCGGUCCCUAUCUGCCGUGGGCGCUGGAGAACUGAGGGGGGCUGCUCCUAGUACGAGAGGACCGGAGUGGACGCAUCACUGGUGUUCGGGUUGUCAUGCCAAUGGCACUGCCCGGUAGCUAAAUGCGGAAGAGAUAAGUGCUGAAAGCAUCUAAGCACGAAACUUGCCCCGAG
rnacentral:rRNA from 1 species